GGUAGAAGUCACGCAUGUGAGGUAGAGGUCACGUAUGUGAGGUAGAGGGUCACGCAUGUGAGGUAAGGUCACGUAUGUGAGGUAGAGGUCACGCAUGUGAGGUAAAGGUCACGUAUGUGAGGUAGAGGUCACGUAUGUGAGGUAGCAGUCAUGCAUGUGAGGUAGAGGCCACGUAUGUGAGGUAGAACUCACGUAUGUGAGGUAGAGGUCACGCAUGUGAGGUAGCAGUCACGCAUGUGAGGUAGAGGUCACGCAUGUGUUGUAGAGGUCACGCAUGUGAGGUAGAGGUCACGCAUGUGAGGUAGCAGUCAAGCAUGUGAGGUAGAGGUCACGCAUGUGAGGUAGAAGUCACGCAUGUGAGGUAGAGGUCACGUAUGUGAGGUAGCAGUCAAGCAUGUGAGGUAGAGGUCACGCAUGUCAAGUAGCAGCUACGCGUAUGAGGUAGACGUUACUCAUUGGAUGAUGCAUGA